rnacentral:rRNA from 1 species
UACGUAGGGCGCAAGCGUUAUCCGGAAUUAUUGGGCGUAAAGAGCUCGUAGGCGGUUUGUCGCGUCUGCCGUGAAAGUCCGGGGCUCAACUCCGGAUCUGCGGUGGGUACGGGCAGACUAGAGUGAUGUAGGGGAGACUGGAAUUCCUGGUGUAGCGGUGAAAUGCGCAGAUAUCAGGAGGAACACCGAUGGCGAAGGCGGAUCUCUGGGCCUUACCUGACGCUGAGACGCGAAAGCUAGGGAGCGAACAGG